UACGUAGGGUGCGAGCGUUGUCCGGAAUUAUUGGGCGUAAAGGGCUCGUAGGCGGUCUGUCGCGUCGGGAGUGAAAACUCAGGGCUUAACCCUGAGCCUGCUUCCGAUACGGGCAGACUAGAGGUAUGCAGGGGAGAACGGAAUUCCUGGUGUAGCGGUGGAAUGCGCAGAUAUCAGGAGGAACACCGGUGGCGAAGGCGGUUCUCUGGGCAUUACCUGACGCUGAGACGCGAAAGCGUGGGGAGCAAACAGG
rnacentral:rRNA from 1 species